rnacentral:misc_RNA from 1 species
GGACUACCGGGGUAUCUAAUCCCGUUCGCUCCCCACGCUUUCGCACCUCAGCGUCAGAUAUGACCCAGCAAGUCGCCUUCGCCACUGGUAUUCCUCCGGAUCUCUACGCAUUUCACCACUCCACCCGGAAUUCUACUUGCCUCUGUCCAUCUCUAGUCAUUCAGUUUGGUACGUCCUCUCCCAGUUGAGCCAGGAGCUUUCACGCACCACUUAAACCACCGCCUACGCGCGCUUUACGCCCAGUAAUUCCGGAUAACGCUCGCCUCCUACGUUUUACCGCGGCUGCUGGCACC